rnacentral:rRNA from 1 species
AUUGAACGCUGGCGGAAUGCUUUACACAUGCAAGUCGAACGAUGAACCUUAGCUUGCUAAGGGGAUUAGUGGCGAACGGGUGAGUAAUAUAUCGGAACGUGCCUUGUAAUGGGGGAUAACUAGUCGAAAGAUUAGCUAAUACCGCAUACGCCCUGAGGGGGAAAGUAGGGGAUCUUCGGACCUUACGUUAUAAGAGCGGCCGAUAUCUGAUUAGCUAGUUGGUGGGGUAAUGGCCUACCAAGGCGACGAUCAGUAGCUGGUCUGAGAGGACGACCAGCCACACUGGAACUGAGACACGGUCCAGACUCCUACGGGAGGCAGCAGUGGGGAAUUUUGGACAAUGGGCGCAAGCCUGAUCCAGCCAUUCCGCGUGAGUGAAGAGGGCCUUCGGGUUGUAAAGCUCUUUCGCAAGGGAAGAAAACUUACCAUCGAAUAAAUGGUGAGGCUGACGGUACCUUGAUAAGAAGCACCGGCUAACUACGUG